CGCCAGACUCCUACGGGAGGCAGCAGUGGGGAAUAUUGCACAAUGGGGGAAACCCUGAUGCAGCGACGCCGCGUGAGUGAAGAAGUAUUUCGGUAUGUAAAGCUCUAUCAGCAGGGAAGAAAAUGACGGUACCUGACUAAGAAGCCCCGGCUAACUACGUGCCAGCAGCCGCGGUAAUACGUAGGGGGCAAGCGUUAUCCGGAUUUACUGGGUGUAAAGGGAGCGUAGACGGCAUGGCAAGUCAGAUGUGAAAGCCCGGGGCUCAACCCCGGGACUGCAUUUGAAACUGUCAGGCUGGAGUGCAGGAGAGGUAAGUGGAAUUCCUAGUGUAGCGGUGAAAUGCGUAGAUAUUAGGAGGAACACCAGUGGCGAAGGCGGCUUACUGGACUGUAACUGACGUUGAGGCUCGAAAGCGUGGGGAGCAAACAGGAUUAGAUACCCUUGUAA
rnacentral:rRNA from 1 species